UGGGACUUCCGGGGUGGCGCCUCCGGAAAAUGGCGGAAUUCCCUUCGGACUGAAGGGAACCCGCUGCACGGAGGCUUGGGUCCUGCCGCUACGGCGCAGCGGGGACCCGCAAAAACCACAGGCGGAAGAAGCCUGUGGACGUGGGACUCGGCGGGCACCGAGAGCGCUCUCUCCCCUUGUACAGGAGCCCGGUAACGGGCUCCGGAGUGGGGGUGCGUGGUGCUGUGAGUCGUCUGCUUCCUCCGUGCAGCAAAGCCGCACUGCCGUUAUCGGAGAGCGCUGCCUUUUUCCUGGACAAUCUGGCAUCUAAAACAUCUAUCCGUGAGUACCUGAUCUUAGAAGAGCUGAACCACUUUUAAGACUGGUGAAUAAACAAACAAUAUUGGACUUGAAAUUGAACUUAAUUGGGACUCGGAAUGGGAAGGUCUAAACAGGAAGUCGCCUUCCGUUCUUUUGUUAUGUGAAGAAAGCAAAGACAAAAUAUACUAAAGCCUGAAAAUUAAAUUUUAAGAGAACUAGAAUUCAACAUCUAAGAUUUCUGAACCCCCCCUUUGACAGCAGGAGAAAAAGGGGGUUGUAUUUGGACCUUUCAAUCCUGCGGAAGUGAGUUUAAAAUAAAGCAAUUUUCCACCGCCCUGAACCAGGAGCGGGCUGUCAGAAUUGACGUUCUGAAGUUUAUCCAGCUCGACAGUUAGUUAAAAGAAGGGUAACAUUUUGAUUCUACUGUUGCCUCUUGAAUUUGGAAGGGGAAAUUUUGGAUAAAGUGUUUCUGGAAAAAGAAAGAUUGUUGCUGUUGCUUUUAUUCCUUU